UGUGAGAGAAAACAGCUGGGAAAAGAGGUCAGGAGCUUUGUCAGAACUCUUUUACUCUGGUGAAGAUUUUCUGCUUUUACUUGUAUUUCCUUGGGAUGUUUCUAAGAUGUUUUCAAGAAGUAGAAUAAUUUCCUUUCAGAAGUAUUAGGGCUAUGGUUAGAGCACUGUGUACCUCUGUUCUUCUAAAGGUCCUCUGCAGAGCACAGAAAGGGAAUUUACCCCAGUUCUUUUUGAUCUGAUUAUUGGCUGCAUGUGUGUAGAGUUUCUGUAUAGGUGGGAAGCCUCAUCCAAAGGCAGGCACACCUCUUAAGAGACAUGGGCUGCAGGACCUUCUGCAUGGGAACAGCAGGCUUGAAGCUGUCUGAAAAUUUCUGACUUGCUGUAUGGGGUGUAAAGAGCACAUGUGCAGUGAGGUGGUCCAAGAAAUCCUGGAAACAAGGGUUUCUAGGGCAGAAUCCUAUGGUUCAAAAGGCUGCCUCAUAUGCAAUGCUUCCUGCAAGCCUAUUUCUAAAUUAGCUUGGCAAUACCUUCCAAACUGGCAGAGCGAAAGCACCAAAUGGCUGCUGUGCAGCAAACCUGUUAAUAUCUUGAUGGGAACAUGCACCUGAAUGACACUUACAGAAAACAUUCAUAAAUCUGAGGAAACAAAGUUGUAGGUGCAAGUGACCUUCUCCAAGUAGCUGAUAAAAUUGUUCCCUCUGAUAUUACA